rnacentral:rRNA from 1 species
UUUUGGACAAUGGGCGCAAGCCUGAUCCAGCCAUGCCGCGUGUAUGAAGAAGGCCUUCGGGUUGUAAAGUACUUUUGUCAGGGAAGAAAAGCCUGAGGAUAACACCCUCAGGUCAUGACGGUACCUGAAGAAUAAGCACCGGCUAACUACGUGCCAGCAGCCGCGGUAAUACGUAGGGUGCGAGCGUUAAUCGGAAUUACUGGGCGUAAAGCGAGCGCAGACGGUUAUUUAAGCAAGAUGUGAAAGCCCCGGGCUCAACCUGGGAACUGCGUUUUGAACUGGGUAACUAGAGUGUGUCAGAGGGGGGUAGAAUUCCACGUGUAGCAGUGAAAUGCGUAGAGAUGUGGAGGAAUACCGAUGGCGAAGGCAGCCCCCUGGGAUAACACUGACGUCAUGCUCGAAA